CAGCCCCGUACACAAAAAUGCACAUAUUGUGAGCUCGAUGAGUAGGGCGGGACACGUGGUAUCCUGUCUGAAUAUGGGGGGACCAUCCUCCAAGGCUAAAUACUCCUGACUGACCGAUAGUGAACCAGUACCGUGAGGGAAAGGCGAAAAGAACCCCGGCGAGGGGAGUGAAAAAGAACCUGAAACCGUGUACGUACAAGCAGUGGGAGCCUCUUAAUGGGGUGACUGCGUACCUUUUGUAUAAUGGGUCAGCGACUUAUAUUCUGUAGCAAGGUUAACCGAAUAGGGGAGCCGAAGGGAAACCGAGUCUUAACUGGGCGUUAAGUUGCAGGGUAUAGACCCGAAACCCGGUGAUCUAGCCAUGGGCAGGUUGAAGGUUGGGUAACACUAACUGGAGGACCGAACCGACUAAUGUUGAAAAAUUAGCGGAUGACUUGUGGCUGGGGGUGAAAGGCCAAUCAAACCGGGAGAUAGCUGGUUCUCCCCGAAAGCUAUUUAGGUAGCGCCUCGUGAAUUCAUCUCCGGGGGUAGAGCACUGUUUCGGCAAGGGGGUCAUCCCGACUUACCAACCCGAUGCAAACUGCGAAUACCGGAGAAUGUUAUCACGGGAGACACACGGCGGGUGCUAACGUCCGUCGUGAAGAGGGAAACAACCCAGACCGCCAGCUAAGGUCCCAAAGUCAUGGUUAAGUGGGAAACGAUGUGGGAAGGCCCAGACAGCCAGGAUGUUGGCUUAGAAGCAGCCAUCAUUUAAAGAAAGCGUAAUAGCUCACUGGUCGAGUCGGCCUGCGCGGAAGAUGUAACGGGGCUAAACCAUGCACCGAAGCUGCGGCAGCGACACUAUGUGUUGUUGGGUAGGGGAGCG
rnacentral:rRNA from 1 species